GGUAGGGUGGCUKAGUAAGUGGUGGRUUGUAGMCCCAUAGACAGAGGUGUAAGCCCUCUCCCUAUCA
rnacentral:tRNA from 1 species